AGCGAACGCUGGCGGCAGGCUUAACACAUGCAAGUCGAGCGCCCAGCAAUGGGAGCGGCAGACGGGUGAGUAACACGUGGGAACGUGCCUUUUGGUUCGGAACAACCCAGGGAAACUUGGGCUAAUACCGGAUAAGCCCUUACGGGGAAAGAUUUAUCGCCAAAAGAUCGGCCCGCGUCUGAUUAGCUAGUUGGUGAGGUAAUGGCUCACCAAGGCUACGAUCAGUAGCUGGUCUGAGAGGAUGAUCAGCCACAUUGGGACUGAGACACGGCCCAAACUCCUACGGGAGGCAGCAGUGGGGAAUCUUGGACAAUGGGCGCAAGCCUGAUCCAGCCAUGCCGCGUGAGUGAUGAAGGCCUUAGGGUUGUAAAGCUCUUUUGUGCGGGAAGAUAAUGACGGUACGCAAGAAUAAGCCCCGCUAACUUCGUGCCAGCAGCCGCGGU
rnacentral:rRNA from 1 species